rnacentral:misc_RNA from 1 species
AACGCACAUUGCGCCCGCCAGUAUUCUGGCGGGCAUGCCUGUUCGAGCGUCAUUUCAACCUUCAGUUUUCUGAUGUUGGACACUGUAGGAAACUACAGGGCCAAAAUAUAGUGGCGAAAGCACCUAUGCCAAGUGAAGUAAACUCUCGCUACGGCUACAGUGACGAUCUGCCAUACCUUACUUUCAGGUUGACCUCGAAUCAGACAGGAAUACCCGCUGAACUUAA